GCCAUCUUAGCUCAGUUGGUAGAGCGACGCACUCGUAACGCGUAGGUCAUCGGUUCAAUCCCGAUAGAUGGCU
rnacentral:tRNA from 1 species